rnacentral:lncRNA from 1 species
CAAGUCUCUGUUUGCUUCACCUUUAAAUAUACUUUCCAGAUUGUUUGAUGUUAUUUCUUUUUUGAUAAUUGCAGAGGAGUUUAUCGUGAUGGCCUUAGAAAGCAAAGAUCUGAUUUAGAGAAUUGUCAGGAUGAAAGGAGGUGCGUGCAAUCAAAGAGCAGUUGUAAAAUUUGGUGAAGCUUUUAGUGUAUGCCCUACCUCUGCAAAUCACAAGAUAACAUGUGACGUGAGUUAUUAUGUUUGAGAUUUUUUAGCGAAAGAAUGUAAAAGGUGUAAGAAGCAAUCUGCAGUUCACGAGAUAGUGAUAAUGGGGUAUUUGCAGGGUGAAGCUGCAUAUGUGGAUUCAGUUCUCGGAACCAGUUGUUUGAACCCCAUCAGAUUUGCAAUCGGCGAAAGUAGUAAGGCAUUUAGUGGAAAAGAAAGAAGAAUUAAGCUGCUGCUAUGAUCGUCCGCGGUCUGUAAUUGAGCAGGGAAAUUCUUGAGGGAGCAUUUCGAGAAUUGUACACAAGUUGUCACAGUCUCACAUUUGUUAUGGUCAAAAUGCGAUGUUCAAAAAGUCUCUUAAGAAGUCAACUAUUGAACAAUUUCUAGCCCGUACUAAUACUUCCUCAUUUGGCGCCGUGAUGUAUGCACAUAUGAUGUUUUAAAUUAGUGGGGGCAAAUUGUUGAAAUUCGAAGGUUGUUGAAACCAUAAAUAUAAGCUAAUACUUUCCCUAGGUUAGUGUCUUGGAACAACACUUUCCGAAUAAAUAAUAUUACAAGUUAAUGACGGGAAUUAGGGAUGCGGAGGCAAUGGUUGCCGUCGGACAUAUUUUGUUGGCGACUCGAGGAGCAAUUAUCC